AUUGAACGCUGGCGGCAGGCCUAACACAUGCAAGUCGAGCGGAUGAAGGGAGCUUGCUCCUGGAUUCAGCGGCGGACGGGUGAGGAAUGCCUAGGAAUCUGCCUGGUAGUGGGGGAUAACGUCCGGAAACGGGCGCUAAUACCGCAUACGUCCUGAGUGGGAAAGUGGGGGAUCUUCGGACCUCACGCUAUCAGAUGAGCCUAGGUCGGAUUAGCUAGUUGGUGGGGUAAAGGCCUACCAAGGCGACGAUCCGUAACUGGUCUGAGAGGAUGAUCAGUCACACUGGAACUGAGACACGGUCCAGACUCCUACGGGAGGCAGCAGUGGGGAAUAUUGGACAAUGGGCGCAAGCCUGAUCCAGCCAUGCCGCGUGUGUGAAGAAGGUCUUCGGAUUGUAAAGCACUUUAAGUUGGGAGGAAGGGCAGUAAGUUAAUACCUUGCUGUUUUGACGUUACCAACAGAAUAAGCACCGGCUAACUUCGUG
rnacentral:rRNA from 1 species